rnacentral:rRNA from 1 species
GAUGAACGCUGGCGGCGUGCCUAAUACAUGCAAGUCGAGCGAACAGACGAGGAGCUUGCUCCUCUUACGUUAGCGGCGGACGGGUGAGUAACACGUGGAUAACCUACCUAUAAGACUGGGAUAACUUCGGGAAACCGGAGCUAAUACCGGAUAAUAUCUUGAACCGCAUUGUUCAAUAGUGAAAGACGUUUUUUCUGUCCAUGAUAGAUUGAUCCGCGCCGCAUUAGCUAGUUGGUAAGGUAACGGCUUACCAAGGCAACGAUGCGUAGCCGACCUGAGAGGGUGAGCGGCCACACUGGAACUGAGACACGGUCCAGACUCCGACGGGUAGCAGCAGUAGGGAAUCUGCCGCAAGGGGCGAAAGCGUGACGGAGCAACGCCGCGUGAGUGAUGAAGGUCUUCGGAUCGGAAAACUCUGUUAUUAGGGAAGAACAAAUGUGUAAGUAACUAUGCACGUCUUGACGGUACCUAAUCAGAAAGCCACGGCUAACUACGUG